rnacentral:rRNA from 1 species
CGCUCCUUGAUAGAUUGUGUAUAAGGAGUCGGACCUGCCCGGUGAUUAUUUUAACGGCCGCGGUACCCUGACCGUGCAAAGGUAGCAUAAUCAUUUGUCUUAUAAUUGAAGACUGGAAUGAAUGGUUUGACAAGAAUACUUCUGUCUCUUUAUAAUUUUAUAGAACUUAAUUUUUAGGUGAAGAAGCCUAAGUAAAAUUGAAAGACAAGAAGACCCUAUCGAGCUUUAAGUAAAUUAGUAACCUAAGAAUAAUAUGAGAUAGAGAUAUAAGUUACUAAAAAAUUUUGGUUGGGGCGACAAAGGAACAUAAAAAGCUUCCUUUAUUUAGUUGUAUAUUUUCAAAUCUGGAUCCAAAUUUUUGUUGAUUAGAGAAAAUAGUUACCGUAGGGAUAACAGCAUAAUCUUUUUUGAGAGCUCAUAUUGAAAAAAAGGUUUGUGACCUCGAUGUUGGAUCAGAAUACCCUAAAGAUGCAGAAGUCUUUAAUGGUUGGUCUGUUCGACCAUUAAAAUUCUA